CCUACGGGUGGCUGCAGUAGGGAAUUUUCCGCAAUGGACGAAAGUCUGACGGAGCAACGCCGCGUGAGUGAUGAAGGCUUUCGGGUCGUAAAACUCUGUUGGUAGAGAAGAACGUUGGUGAGAGUGGAAAGCUCAUCAAGUGACUGUAACUACCCAGAAAGGGACGGCUAACUACGGGCCAGCAGCCGCGGAAAUACGUAGGUGCCGAGGGUUGUCGUGAUUUAUGGGGCGGAAAGCGUGGGCGGGUGGUUUGUUAAGGUGGGGGGAAACAGCAGUGGCUCAACCGUUGUAUGCAUUGGAAACUGGUAGACUAGAGUGUGGGAGAGGGGGGUGGAAUUCCAUGUGUAGCGGUGAAAUGCGUAGAUAUAUGGAGGAACACCGGUGGCGAAAGCGGCCCUCUGGCCUGUAACUGACACUGAGGCUCGAAAGCGUGGGGAGCAAACAGGAUUAGAUACCCGGGUAGUC
rnacentral:rRNA from 1 species